AUGAGCAGCACCAACGAGGCCACCGUCAUCCACAUGGACGACACCACCGGCAAGGCCCCGGCUACGGCCGCGCCACCGCCAGCAGCCGCACCCGCGCCGGUGCAGCAGCAGCGCAAGUCCGGCGGCGGCGUGCCGUUCAUCCUGCGCAGCGGCGCCGAGGGCUUCCGUCGCUGCAUGGCCUUCGUGGACCUGCUGCUCAGGGUGGCGGCCUUCGGGCCCACGCUCGCGGCCGCCAUCUCCACGGGCACCUCCGACGAGACGCUCUCCGUCUUCACCGAGUUCUUCCAGUUCCGUGCCAGGUUCGACGACUUCCCGGCCUUCACCUUCUUCAUGGUCGCCAACGCCGUCGCCGCGGGGUACCUGGUGCUGUCGCUCCCCUUCUCCAUCGUCGGCAUCAUCCGGCCCAAGGCGACCGGCAUCAGGCUGCUGCUGCUCGUCUGCGACACGGUCAUGGUGGUGCUGGUGACGGCCGCUGCGUCUGCGGCGGCGGCCAUCGUGUACGUGGCGCACGAGGGGAGCCGGCGCGCCAACUGGGCGCCCAUCUGCAUGCAGUUCCACGGCUUCUGCCAGCGCACCAGCGGCGCCGUCGUCGCCUCCUUCCUCGCCGUCCUCGUCUUCAUCGUCCUCGUCCUCCUCUCCGCCUGCGCGAUCCGCAGACAACGCUAG
rnacentral:rRNA from 1 species